UACGGAGGGGGCUAGCGUUGUUCGGAAUCAUUGGGCGUAAAGGGCGCGUAGGCGGCCGAUCAAGUCGGAGGUGAAAUCCCUCGGCUCAACUGAGGAAUUGCCUUCGAUACUGUUCGGCUUGAGUCCUGGAGAGGGUAGCGGAAUUCCCAGUGUAGCGGUGAAAUGCGUAGAGACCGGGAAGAACACCAGUGGCGAAAGCGCUCUGCUGGACCUAAACUGACACUGAGGGACGAAAGCUAGGGGAGCGAAUGGG
rnacentral:rRNA from 1 species